UAACAGGGCGUGAGAGAAGAUUAGUCAAGUAUUGCAUAGUAAACAGGAUGUUUAGUUGGGUAUAUAAGCGCGUGUAUAGCGCGAGCUGUGAUAUAAUCCACAAACCGAGAAACUAUUACAGAUUCCAUUAACUUCAUAUACAAGAUGAAUUCUGUUAGCUUGAUGUGUGUUGUAUUGGUUACUCUAUGUUUAGUGGUGGAUGUAACUCAUGGCAUGGCAAGGGAUUGGACUGGAGACUGUUGGAAGAGAAGUCAGUGUAAAGGCUGCAACUCAGACUAUGUUUCAAUUGCGAACGGCGUGAAACUCUGCUGUGCCAACUGCCAAGAGAAAGGUCUCAUCAUCAACGUCGGUUUGAAGACCUGCUUUUGUAAUGUUUAAAUCUCACUCUUCAACAAUCUAUUUUCUUGUAACCCAAUUUCAUUUGAUUAUCUCAUUUUGAUUUAAUGUCAAUCUUCCAUUUUACCAAAAUAUACCCUUGGCUUAUUGUUUUGAAAAUAGAUAAAAAAGUUGAAAGUCA